UGGCAGUUGGUCCGGAACAUGGCCCUUCUCUAGUUCUUUGCCCCAACUCCCAAAGCAGCUAGAAGGUUUAGAAGUGCCCCAGAGCCAACUAAUAAAAACCACAGCUGCUUGGGGAGCUUCGCUUACUAAUAGACAACAGCACGGGUCACUCUCCCCAGAUCCACAGCUCAUCUUGUCUGUCCUGUUUUGAACACUGGCACAGCACCAGACUAGCUAGCUUGCUGGCUUUUGGGGAUGAUUAUGGGAAGUCUGAGAGCCUGGGAGAUUGCAAGGUCUACCAGAGUCUGCUGUCAGAGCGAGUUUUCCUGGCAGGGAAGAAACCCAGCAAAGCCUAAAUGCCUGCUGUAAGUCAGAAGUUGGCUCACGCCCUCUCACCUGUCCUCAACAAGACUUAUAUGAGGGGAACAGAGACCCAUUUGCUGGCCUCAGUAAUCUCCGUUGUUCUCCGCUGUGCUGUCUGCAGUUCAGCUCUGUCUGGAGUGAAAUGUGGGGCCCAGGAGGAAACAGAAAUGGAUCUUCUCAGCAACACUCAAGCAACAGAUGACUCUGCGGAGACUCCACCUGGAAGGCUGCGCUCAGCUCAGAGCUCCUAAUUACCAGCCAGAUCAGGACCCUCUGUGUUGGCCUCAAAUUGAUAUCUUCUUGAUCCAGCACCUCCAAGUGCUCUGGCUACAGGCAUGUGAGAUCUAGCACCACCCACCAUUUACAUCAGGGUCCUUCCACAGGACAUUGGAACUGGUGUAAAAGUGGGACCAUGCCCCUGCAAGGACUCUAAUUGUGUAAUCCAGAUCUGUCUUCUCUACUGUCUCAGCAGUGGAAAUCUCACCCCACCCCCGAAUGAUAACUGGAGGUGCCAUUUUAAGAGUUCUUUGAGUUACUGGUUCACUGGCUGCACAGAAUAUGGCUGAUUUGAGCUGUUUUCUUUAGAAGCAGAUGCUGAGGUAAAGAACUUCAUGUGGUUUCUAGAGAUCUAUACCUAGAAAAACAAGAUAACUUGACAGAGAAAGAUGCUGUCUUCACGCUGUCCAAUCUGCUCGGGUGAGCUGUGGAGUGAGGACUCACCUGCCUGGCUCAGUCAGCAGAUGUGGGCUGCCUUGUGAGACUGGAACCUCCAGAGAGCCUACCUCUCUCCUACACCAGGCUGACUCUGAAGUUCCCCACAGUGGGGCUGUCCG